rnacentral:rRNA from 1 species
AGGGUGUAAACGCUGCAGACUUGGUGUUGGGGACCCUUCGGGGGUGUUCAGUGCCGGAGAGAAGUUGUUAAGUCUGCUACUUGGGGAGUACGUCCGCAAGGAUGAAACUUAAAGGAAUUGGCGGGGGGAGCACCGCAACGGGAGGAACGUGCGGUUUAAUUGGAUUCAACACCGGAAACUCACCAGCAGCGACUGUUACAUGAAAGUCAGGCCGAUGACCUUACUAGAUUUUCAGAGAGGAGGUGCAUGGCGUCAGUGACU